GAUGAAUGCUGGCGGCGUGCCUAACACAUGCAAGUCGAGCGGCAGCGCGGAGAGUUUACUCUCUGGCGGCGAGCGGCGGACGGCUGAGUAACGCGUGGGAACGUGCCCCAAAGUGAGGAAUAACUGCCCGAAAGGGUGGCUAAUGCCGCAUAUGAUCUUCGGAUUAAAGGAUUUAUCCGCUUUGGGAGCGGCCCGCGUCGGAUUAGGUUGUUGGUGAGGUAAUGGCUCACCAAGCCGACGAUCCGUAGCUGGUCUGAGAGGAUGAUCAGCCAGACUGGGACUGAGACACGGCCCAGACUCCUACGGGAGGCAGCAGUGAGGAAUCUUCCACAAUGGGCGAAAGCCUGAUGGAGCAACGCCGCGUGCAGGAUGAAGGCCUUCGGGUUGUAAACUGCUUUUAUAAGUGAAGAAUAUGACGGUAACUUAUGAAUAAGCACCGGCUAACUACGUGCCAGCCGCCGCCGUAAGAC
rnacentral:rRNA from 1 species